AAUGUUCAGAUCAGUAGUGUUAUGUACAUUUACAUUGUUGGGCAGCUAUCACCACCAUCCAUCUUUAGAACUCUUCUCACCUUGCAAAAAAAUGAACCAAGAUGAAUUUGAAUGCCAAUGUUCUUUAAGACCGUGGACAUCCCAAAUGAAAGUACUGAAAGACUCAUGCUCCAGAAAUCAGCUACCAAAUUGUGAUACCCCCAUAUUUUCUAGAGAAGUCAAGACAUCAACAGUUCAAACAGUGUUUACAGAAAAUCCCAUGCCAAAUUCUAGCCAUGUAGAGGAUAUCCAGCCAAGUGAAGGUCUAGUGUGGUCCAUCACAUGGAAGAGAAGAACUACACAGCUGAUCCCAAUCAACUCAGAAUUAUAGAAGAAAAGGUGGUAAUUUCUCGAAGCCACUUAUAUGUGGGAUAUUUACUAUCCAGCAAU